rnacentral:rRNA from 1 species
CUUGAGGCCCGGCCGACUCUCCGGAGCACAGUAUGGAUUAUGGCACAUGGCGCAGCUGAUUGAACGACCCCGCGUUGAGGGACGACGCCUUCGAGUGUAACUCUUUCAGCCAACGAAGCGCAGGGACCGUUUGUGCAGAAGAAGGAACCGACAACUACGUGGCCAGCAGCGCGGUUAUACGUAGGGUUCGAGCGUUGUCCGGAAUACUGGGCGUAAAGAGCUUCGUAGGUGGUUUGUCGCGUUGUUCGUGAAACUCACAACUCAACUGUGGGCGUGCGGCGAUACGGGCAGACUAGAAGUACUGCAGAGGAGACUGGAAUUCCUGUGUAGCGGUGGAAUGCGCAGAUAUCAGGAGAAACCCCGGUGGCGAAGGCGGGUCUCUGGGCAGUAACUGACGCUGAGGAGCGAAAGCGUGGGGAGCGAACAGGAUUAGAUACCCUGGUAGUCCACGCCGUAAACGGUGGGUACUAGGUGUGGGUUUCCCUCCUUGGGAUCCGUGCCGUAGCUAACGCAUUAAGUACCCCCGCCUGGGGAGUACGGCCGCAAGGCUAAAACUCAAAGAAAUUGACGGGGGCCCGCACAAGCGGCGGAGCAUGUGGAUUAAUUCGAUGCAACGCGAAGAACCUUACCUGGGUUUGACAUGCACAGGACGUGCCUAGAGAUAGGUAUUCCCUUGUGGCCUGUGUGCAGGUGGUGCAUGGCUGUCGUCAGCUCGUGUCGUGAGAUGUUGGGUUAAGUCCCGCAACGAGCGCAACCCCUAUCUUAUGUUGCCAGCGCGUCAUGGCGGGGACUCGUAAGAGACUGCCGGGGUCAACUCGGAGGAAGGUGGGGAUGACGUCAAGUCAUCAUGCCCCUUAUGUCCAGGGCUUCACACAUGCUACAAUGGCCGGUACAAAGGGCUGCGAUGCCGUGAGGUGGAGCGAAUCCUUUAAAGCCGGUCUCAGUUCGGAUCGGGGUCUGCAACUCGACCCCGUGAAGUCGGAGUCGCUAGUAAUCGCAGAUCAGCAACGCUGCGGUGAAUACGUUCCCGGGCCUUGUACACACCGCCCGUCACGUCAUGAAGAGUCGGUAACACCCGAAGCCGGUGGCCUAACCCUUGUGGAGGAGCCGUCGAAUGGUGGUACUUCCAGGCAGCUAA